rnacentral:lncRNA from 1 species
GUAAGUGCAAAGUCCCAACUAGGAAGGGAGGGAGCUUAUCCAGGAAGGGGCUCAGGGCCGAGACUGAGCUCUUAACCUCUGCACUAGGCUGCCUCCCCGUGCAGGGAGAUCAUCCCAAGCACUACCCUCUCUCCAUCCAGAGGAUGGCUUAUGGAGAAAACAUUUUUUAUUUAGAGAAAUAACUAGCAAAAGGGAUUAGAUUUAUUAUUAGCACAGCAUAAAGAAUGAAGACUUCUCAGAGAUCACUGCUGUCUUUAAUCUCUUCUUGAAAGAAAAGUCUUGGGAAAGGAUAAAUGAAGGUGAACAAUGCCCAGCCUUGGGAGAGAGAUGGUUUCCCACAUCUGAGAUGACUCACGUCUUAACCUUUUUGCUCUAAUUUCUCUCUUUGCAUGUAUCCUGUGAUUUACUCUCUGGAUGAUGGCUCUACAGCAGAUUCCCAGCCAACGCACACAGACAUUAUCCAUUUCAGAAGAGACACGCACUCUGCUUGAGGAAAUGAUGUGUGAGAGACAUGGGAGAAAGAGCUUGACAGUUGGGCUGUAACAACAGCAGAGCUGGAAUCAUAGAGGGCCUUUCAAGAGGCUGGCCACUGCCUUGCAGCCCCCGUCGUGGGCAGAAGCUCAGAGCUGUUCAGAGAGUCACCGCACACUCGGAUGACGCAAGCACAGAGAGGUUUGGGCAAGAAGCAGAUGAGAAGCUUCCUUAGAAACGUUAAAAGGCGAGAUGGAGUUGGAAGGCAGACAGCAGUUGGGGUUUUCUUCUACGUGGUGCUACCGAAACCCUGCCUGAAGAUACAGAUUCUGGAAACUUCCCUGGGGUGGGGAUGAUCAAAUGACCAAUGACCAACCUGAUCCUGGGAGAACCUAGACUUGGCCACAACCUUCAGCAGAAAGCCCCAGUAAG